rnacentral:rRNA from 1 species
AUUAAACGCUGGCGGCAUGCCUUACACAUGCAAGUCGAACGGCAGCACGGGGGGAACCCUGGUGGCGAGUGGCGAACGGGUGAGUAAAGCAUCGGAACGUGCCCUGGAGUGGGGGAUAACGUAGCGAAAGCUACGCUAAUACCGCAUAUUCUGUGAGCAGGAAAGCAGGGGAUCGCAAGACCUUGCGCUCUGGGAGCGGCCGAUGUCGGAUUAGCUAGUUGGUGGGGUAAAGGCCUACCAAGGCGACGAUCCGUAGCGGGUCUGAGAGGAUGAUCCGCCACACUGGGACUGAGACACGGCCCAGACUCCUACGGGAGGCAGCAGUGGGGAAUUUUGGACAAUGGGCGAAAGCCUGAUCCAGCCAUGCCGCGUGAGUGAAGAAGGCC